rnacentral:rRNA from 1 species
GCCGUCCUACGGGAGGCAGCAGUGGGUCCUAUUGCCCCCUUUGGGGCCCCCUGAUGCAGCGACGCCGCGUGAGUGAAGAAGUAUUUCGGUAUGUAAAGCUCUAUCAGCAGGGAAGAUAAUGACGGUACCUGACUAAGAAGCCCCGGCUAACUACGUGCCAGCAGCCGCGGUAAUACGUAGGGGGCAAGCGUUAUCCGGAUUUACUGGGUGUAAAGGGUGCGUAGGUGGCAGGGCAAGUCAGAUGUGAAAGCCCGGGGCCCAACCCCGGUACUGCAUUUGAAACUGUCCGGCUGGAGUGAAGGAGA